GACGAACGCUGGCGGCGUGCUUAACACAUGCAAGUCGAACGGAAAGGCCUGCUUUCCCUUGUGGAUUGCGGGUACUCGAGUGGCGAACGGGUGAGUAACACGUGAGUGAUCUGCCCCCAACUUGGGUAUAAGCCUGGGAAACUGGGUCUAAUUCCCGAUAGGACUGCAGGGUGGUGCCUGUGGUGGAAAACGAUUUUCUAGUGGUUGGGGAUGAGCUCGCGGCCUAUCAGCUUGUUGGUGGGGUAAUGGCCUACCAAGGCGGCGACGGGUAGCCGGCCUGGGAGGGUGGACGGCCACAUUGGGACUGAGAUACGGCCCAGACUCCUACGGGAGGCAGCAGUGGGGAAUAUUGAACAACGGGCGGAAGCCUGAUGCAGCGACGCCGCGUGGGGGAUGACGGCCUUCGGGUUGUAAACUCCUUUCGACCGCGAGGAAGCCACCUGGUUGGAAGGGUGGUGACGGUAGUGGUAGAAGAAGCACCGGCUAACUACGUG
rnacentral:rRNA from 1 species